rnacentral:rRNA from 1 species
CCUACGGGAGGCAGCAGUGAGGAAUAUUGGUCAAUGGACGAGAGUCUGAACCAGCCAAGUAGCGUGAAGGAUGACUGCCCUAUGGGUUGUAAACUUCUUUUAUAAAGGAAUAAAACGAGGCACGUGUGCCUUUUUGCAUGUACUUUAUGAAUAAGGAUCGGCUAACUCCGUGCCAGCAGCCGCGGUAAUACGGAGGAUCCGAGCGUUAUCCGGAUUUAUUGGGUUUUAAGGGAGCGUAGAUGGGUUGUUAAGUCAGUUGUGAAAGUUUGCGGCUCAACCGUAAAAUUGCAAUUGAUACUGGCAUUCUUGAGUACAGUUGAGGUAGGCGGAAUUCGUGGUGUAGCGGUGAAAUGCUUAGAUAUCACGAAGAACCCCGAGUGCGAAGGCAGCUUACUAAACUGUGACUGACAUUGAUGCUCGAAAGUGUGGGUAUCAAACAGGAUUAGAUACCCCUGUAGUC